rnacentral:rRNA from 1 species
UACAGAGGGUGCGAGCGUUGUUCGGAAUUACUGGGCGUAAAGCGCGCGCAGGCGGCCCUUUAAGUCCGUCGGUCAAAUGCCGGGGCUCAACCCCGAGCGUGCCGAGGAUACUGGAGGGCUGGAGACACGUAGAGGCAAGCGGAAUUCCGGGUGUAGCGGUGGAAUGCGUAGAGAUCCGGAAGAACACCGGAGGCGAAGGCGGCUUGCUGGGCGUGAUCUGACGCUGAGGCGCGAAAGCCAGGGGAGCAAACAGG